rnacentral:sRNA from 1 species
UCAGACAGCUGACAAAAUGUUCGCUAUCAUAUCAACUAUAAUUGUGUUCACAAUAUAUUUAAUGCUGCCCACUGUGGAGGUUUACGUUAUACGAGCUCUAGAAAAGAAUAUGGAGGAAAUGGCCUACCAAAUGGAAGAAAAUAGCAAUGUGAGCCCAUACUUAAGCAAUAUUAUAGGCAAUAUCUUUCUCGAAUUCGGUUCAAAAAUUAAGCGCAAAACAAAGAAUUAUUUACAACAUAUAAAUGUGAUAAAUGGACAGAAUUAUUCUCUGUUCUUUACUUUCUCAAGAAAACAUAAAAUACCAUAGGCAGCUCGCUAAUUUGACAUAUGCAAGUUAAAAGAAAAUAAAAAAAAAUAAAAAAAAUUGUAUACCAAAUGCAAAACAAGAAAAAAGCUAACAACAAAAAUUAAUUAGCUACAGUUACGUCGACUUAAUUUCAUAACGAAAUAUUUAAGUUCCUUAUACAUUUCACAAAUUAAAAUUUAACGCAGUUUUUAAGCUAACUAAGAAAUAGAAUGACUUACUUGAUGUGAAAAGAUUUGUUUUAGUUAACACAGAAUGCAUAAGCUGAUAUAUAUUGCUUUUCUAACGGUGCUGAUAUCAAGCCUAGAUGCACGCCCACAGAGUAUCGACGACUUGGAAUCAUUUUUGAACAGCGCUGGUGAAUAUAAUAAAAUCGUACCAACCGAAAAGGCGAGAUCAUUUUCUAUCAAACCAGAUGAAAAUGUUCUUAUCAAUUUGAAUUAUAAACCAGCAAAGUCAGGACGUCGCAAAUCGGUACAUAAGAAAUCCAAAAGGCAAAGCCCACAAUACUACCUGAACUUUACGUUUCAUAACUAUAAGAAUCCAAAAGAAGACACAAAAAAGAAGCCAAACAAAAAUCAGCAUAGAUUUAAAAAAAAUCGAUAUACGGAUUUUCCACUUAAGGGCGAAGAUCCUUAGGCAUUAAUAGAUCAUCCUGAAUAUACAUAAAUCGUAAUUGGAAAAAAUAAAGAAAAUAAGAUAUAUACAACAAAAAAAA